rnacentral:lncRNA from 1 species
UAUAUAACAUCCGUAAUCCAUACAUAUAACACAUCCAUAAUCCAUACAUCGUAUAUAUAACAUCCUUAAUCCAUACAUCAUAUAUAUAACGUCCUUAAUCCAUACAACAUAUAACACAUCCAUAAUCCAUACAAUAUAUAGCACAUCCAUGUAUAUAUAGCAUAAUCCAUAGCACAUCCAUGUAUAUAUAGGAUAAUCCAUAGCACAUCCAUGUCAUAAUAUUUCGCAUUACUACAUAAAAUUUGGCAUUACGAUAAAUGUCUUCAUGUCAAUAUCGUAGUCCAAAGAACAUCUGUACGACAA